GGACGUGCUGCGCAGUGACAGCCAGCUGAAGAACGCCGACGUCGAGCUGCAGCAGCGGGCCGUGGAGUACCUGCGGCUCAGCACGGUGGCCAGCACCGACAUCCUGGUAGGCCCCGGUGGCUCGGAGAACCCCUGCCGCACCGUCCCUCGCCCUGGGGCCGGAAGCUGCGGGGCUUUCCGCUGCCGUGACUCCGGGCUUCUUCCUCCAGGCGACCGUCCUGGAGGAGAUGCCGCCGUUUCCGGAGCGCCAGUCCUCCAUUCUGGCCAAGCUCAAGAAGAAGAAGGGCCCGGACACAGCCACGGGUCUGGAGGAGGCCAAGCGGGAGAGGAGCGCCGCUGUCAACGGGGGCCCCGAGCCUGCCCCGGCCAGCGCCGCGGUGGGUCCCUUUCUGGUGGCGACACCCGCAUAAGCUCCUGGGUCGCCGGGUCCCCGAGAUUCGGCACCAGCAGAGCGUUUGCCCCCUGGGGAGAAUGUGUUGUUAGGUGUGAGGUGUGUGCCGAGAGCGCAGUGGUGGGACCCGGCCGAGCCCUCGCCUCUCCUUCACCUCUGACCUCAGAAGGUGCUCCCCCCCGGGCGCCUGGGCCUCAUCUUCCAGACUGGUCUUCAGACUGCCGUCUCGGGCCUAGAGUCCCCUCCCAUCUCCUCUCUGUCCUGAGUGGUUCAGACGAUGUGAGCGCUCGCUUCUUCUGCGGGACUGCCUUGCGUAGGAGGCCGUCCGGCUACUCUUUGUUGGCGUAGAGCGGACCCACCUCACACCUUAUGCUGUUCUUAGAGAUUUUCAGCGGUGACUUGGGUUAGGGCCGGUUUCCCUUUUCUGUGUGACGUGGUGAGGGCAUUCACGUAUAAGUGAAGACCUGUCUUUUGAUGUGCGUCUGGGGGAGGUGUCAGUUUGAGAGUUGUAUUUGUUUCUUUUCUCUCCCUGGCUCGAGCAACAGCUUCGUGGGAACGCACACGCCAGCCCUGCCCCGCGACCGCCAGCUGGGCGCCAUGACCAGCUCCCCAGGACUGUGGGCUUUCUGCUUGUCCGUUCUGGGAGGAGGCCUGGAGAGCUUUGUGUCGUCUCU
rnacentral:lncRNA from 1 species